rnacentral:lncRNA from 1 species
UUCUAUUUCCACACUUUGAAUGCGAGACCAAUUUGGUGACAGCCUCUCGUGCCAUUAACGAAAUAGAAACAUAUGCACAUGCAGCGAUAAAACAGAUCUGAAACAACAUCCCUGCCACCUGUUGGGUGGCAGCUGAAAUCAGACAUCUUAAUGUAUGAUAUUAUGGGAAUUACCCACAUUAAGAUAAAAUAUCUGGAUUUAAGUAACUGUCUUUUGCUCUGAAUUAACUUGAAGGUUGAACUCAGAAAACAAAGGCAAACGACUUGGGGCUAAGCAACUUACUCCACAGCCAUCGUGCCCGGCUGCCGCUCUGGUGGGGGCACUAUGUAGAAAUGUUGGUGGCAGUUUUCACUUCUCCUAAUUGACAGCAGAAGAUCUAGCUGUGCUCCAGCAUUCUGGACAUGAAGGGAAAUGAGAAGGCUAGCCUGUACCCAAGAUGUGAGCUUCUAAAAGAAACAGGAACUAGGGUCUGCUUCAUUCCUGAGUCUUCAGCACUUAGCAGAGUCCCUGAUAUAUAGCGGAUCUUUACAAGUAUUUGUUGAGUGAAAGAAGAGGUAUGAUAUUUACUGAAUACAUGCCAUGUUCCAAACAUUCAGAAAGGAGUUGUAAUCGAUAAAGAAGACACCUGUCUACAAGAAGCUUACAGUCUACUGGCCAGAGAUGAGAUGUGUCCACAGAUAACCAUGCUGCAAGUUAAGUAAAGAAGAAUCUGUAAGAGUGCUAUGCCACUGUGACCUGUUCUUUGAAAAAGCUUGAAAUGAAAUCACAAAGCAACUUUCUUGAUUUCCCACUAUUUACAUUUACUUAAGGAGGAAAGUUCUACUAACCCCAAAUAUGUACAUGGAAAGAUCCAUGACCUUUAGGAAUAUUUUGGGGGAAAUAAAAUGUUCAAUGAUACCUGAAAUCAUAUCUAGAUUGAACUCAUAUUUAGAAUGCCUGAUCCCAUGUAAUGGUCAAAGCUUCCAACUUCAUACAAAGUUAUAGCUGGUUUCUCUCUCCCCAGCCAGUGCCUGCAACAGGGCAGGGGUUGAAUGGUCAGCUUGUAUCGGCAGAGGUCCCAUUGUUCCUGCAUGCGGCCCAGUGGGCAGGGCCUAACUUUGUACCAUCCCAGCUCUCUUGCUUGCAAAGCCCAUAUGAAAACCCUAGGAAACACUUAGGCAUCUUUGCCUGAGCAGAUACUGGGAGAGCAACUCACCCAUGUGCCACCUCCUCUGCUUUCCUCCCUUCUGUCACCCAGAUUUUACAGGUGAAGGUCACAUGUCAGGCACUCAUUCUCCCACACUACAGGGGACAUACACUCUGCUGUCUGAGUGGUCCCAUUGAAGACCCCCUAGCAGACUGGAGAUAAGGUACAGUUACACCUGCCUCUCCCCUUAGGGAGGUGGAACUCACAGCUCACCUGUCUCUAAAGAAGCCCUCUUCACAAAUACCUUCCUGUCAACCUCCCACACACUUAUUUUUUUAAUACCCUUGACAAGAGUGAGGGUUUUGAGCUGUGAAACCAGUUUCUGGAUAUUUCCUUUGAAAUUUCCAUCCCAGUCUGGCUCCUUGCUGGAGCAGCCAAUAUUCUGCCAUUUCAGGUGCUGAGCCCUGGCCUGGGAGGUGCCAGCAGGGAGAGGCCAAUUCCAGCAGAGGAGAGUCCAGGCAUGUGGGGAUAUGGUGGUGUUCUCCAUGGAGGGAGAAACAGGGCAUUAAUAAAACAGUGCCAGGAAUAACCCUGUGAUUGAUGGGUAAAGGUCAUGGACUCUGGGAUACUGGCAGGCACUGAUGGGAACCUGUUAGGGCUGGACCGGGACCAUCUCUGGCUUCCUGCUUCCCUCAGGUACCAGGAUGCUCUGCUAUGGUCUCUGGCAAAACUGAGCACUGGGGCUGGGCACAUAAUUUUGCCUGGGACAACUGCUGUAGGGGCUUCAGAAUGCCUGGUUUUCUAAAUUUUAUUGGUGUCAGGAGAGAGCUUUGAUAAGCUUUAAUGUGCUAUUAAUUAUUUGGGCUGUUAAAAAAGGGAGUGCAUGAGAGGCUUGGAGUUGAAUGAUCUCAUUUCUGAGGUUCUGAGGAGGUACACACAUACACCCCAGUGGAAGCCAACUCAGGAUCCAGCUGCUCACGGAGUUCCUCCCUCUGCUCAGACACCAAGAGUGCUGCUGCCUGAGACUGAGCAGAGUAGGGAACUGGGGAGGAUCUCCACUGCUUUAAACUUAAAUGUAACUUGGGCAAUUUGGACUUUCUUUGGGCUUUAAUUCGCAAGGGCUAAAUACUUUGAUUUUGGACUUUAAUCUCUUUGGGAUUUUAAUCUCUAAAUUUUUCCCUAGGAAUUUGAUAAUGGGAAGGGUUUAUAUCCAAAUUUGGGACAUCUUAUUUUCCCAUUUAUUAUUGAAGAAAUCUUUAUGCAUUUUUUAUUAGCUCUUUAUGCAUUUUAUUAUUGAAGUAUCUUCACUCUGCUAUUAAACCUCAUUACAGAACCUCUGAUGAGGUUAGUGGUCCAUGUGGCUGGACAUCAAUUUGGAUUGGAAAUAGAACAGGCUCUGAACUUGCAGUCUUAGACACAACAUAGCCUUGGACUGGAUUUUAUUAACACACUGUUCUGGCUCAUCUCAGAGGCUUAUGGAAGUGAAAUCAACAGUGUCUUAGGAUGGUCCCAGGAAGGCACAGGAAGGAACAGAAGUUGAUGCUGGGGGAGCGACCUCCUGCUCAGAUAGUUAGCUCAUCCCCUCCUGGAGCCAGAUGACCACAUACCUGGUUGUCCAGGGGUUAAACAUUAAGCCCAGCUGGUUAAGAUAACAAAAAUCUGGGGAAUUUUUAUCCCCUUCCUUCUCUAGUUUUCAUAUAGAGGGACUUCCCUGACCCCACACACUUGGCCCCUCUCUACUCCCUUUUUGACCCAGCUAGGAGUGAUUUGUCACUUGAGUUUAUGUAUGACUCACUCUCUUCCCCUCCCUCUCCCUCUCUUUUGGUAUAUGCCUGCCCUGGGAGAACACACAAGCUCUGCUGUCAGCCAUGUGGAAUGAAGCAUGCCGGGCCUCAUCUCGGACCUGCACACUGCCCCUCAUUAUGUUCAUGAUCGGGAAAUGGAUAAAGAGUGGCCAGAAGGUGAAAAAGAAGAGAUGGCCCCCUGAAAGGGACAUCCACAUUUAUUUGAGCACCUACCAGGAUACCUGCUUUGGGAGCCUUCUGCUGCUGCGUGAGAUCCCUGGCUACCCUGGAGAGACAUCAGACAACAAGUGAGAUGCCCAAGAGCCCUAGCUGUCUUUGUCUUUGCAGCCCAAGCUCCAGACAUGUACUGAAGAAGCUUUAAGGAUAAAUUCAGUCCCAACUACUCCCUGGCUACAACUAUGAGACAGACCCUCCCAAGUCAGAACUGCCUAGCCAAGCUCAGGCAACUCCAAGAUUUAAGAGCAAAAUAAAAGAUAGUUAUUGCUUUAAGCUACUGUUUGGGUGGUUUGUUAUGCAGUAGUAGAUAGUCAGAACAUAACACUUACUUUACAAUAGUUGUAAAGUAAGGAAUGAGGAAUCAUUUCAAUGAGGAAUCACUGAAAAUGUAG